GCGGUGUCUUUUUGAACUCCCCCGACCGUCCGAGCUUCCACAGUACCAUCCGGACUCCUCCAGCAGUCGACCUUCCACAGUGUCCUCCAGAUUCCUCCAAUGGAUGAACUCCUACCGUAUCCUCCAAACUUCUCUAAUAAUGAGCUCCUUCAGUUGUCUAUCAGACUACUCCAAAUGCUCUCUGGGCUUUACUAUCAGCCAAUUUUCUAUAGUGAUC
rnacentral:lncRNA from 1 species